rnacentral:rRNA from 1 species
CGACGAGUUUGAUCCUGGCUCAGAUUGAACGCUGGCGGAAUGCUUUACACAUGCAAGUCGAACGGUAGAGGGGGCAACCCCUCGAGAGUGGCGAACGGGUGGGUAAUAUAUCGGAACGUGCCCAGUCGUGGGGGAUAACGUAGUGAAAAUUACGCUAAUACCGCAUACGAUCUACGGAUGAAAGCGGGGACUCGCAAGAGCCUCGCGCGAUUGGAGCGGCCGAUAUCAGAUUAGGUAGUUGGUGGGGUAACGGCUUACCAUGGCUACGAUAGGUAGGGGGUCCUGAGAGGGAGAUCCCCCGACACUGGUACUGAGACACGGACCAGACUCCUACGGGGAGGCAGCAGUGAGGAAUAUUGGUCAAUGGGGCGCAAGCCUGAACCAGCCAUGCCCGCGUGCAGGAAGAAUGCCCUAUGGUUGUAAA